rnacentral:rRNA from 1 species
UACGGGGGGAGCAAGCGUUGUUCGGAUUUACUGGGCGUAAAGGGCGCGUAGGCGGCCAGCACAAGUCAGUUGUGAAAUCUCCGGGCUUAACUCGGAAAGGUCAACUGAUACUGUGCGGCUAGAGUGCAGAAGGGGCAACUGGAAUUCUCGGUGUAGCGGUGAAAUGCGUAGAUAUCGAGAGGAACACCUGCGGCGAAGGCGGGUUGCUGGGCUGACACUGACGCUGAGCACGAGGACCAGGGGAGCGAAACGGG